CAUUGGUUCAGUGGGUGAGGACAUCGAACAAGUAGUGACAUCCAAAUAUCCCAGGUCAACAGGAUCGUAUGCAAGCGAAACUAGCAAAGAGGAACAUAAAAUUGUUCUGAAGACUAGGUGCAACCCUGUCGAGUUUUGCGACGUGGUGUCUACUCUACCUCAAGACAAGAUAGAGGUUGUGUAUGAUAUUGGAAUGGGACACUUGCAUGAACUGAGAGUGGAU